GAUCCUGGCUCAGAUUGAACGCUGGCGGCAUGCCUUACACAUGCAAGUCGAACGGUAACAGGUCUUUCGGGAUGCUGACGAGUGGCGAACGGGUGAGUAAUACAUCGGAACGUGCCUAGUAGUGGGGGAUAACUACUCGAAAGAGUGGCUAAUACCGCAUGAGAUCUAUGGAUGAAAGCAGGGGACCUUCGGGCCUUGUGCUACUAGAGCGGCCGAUGGCAGAUUAGGUAGUUGGUGGG
rnacentral:rRNA from 1 species